CCUGGGCGACAGAGCAAGACUCUAUCUCAUAAUAAUAAUAAUAAUAAUAAUAAUAAUAACAACAACAAAAUAAGAUUAUAAGAACCCAAGGGACUUUUCAUUUAUUGGUUUCUAAUUUUCAGAAAUUUUUGACUCACACUACAUGAAAGAAGAUUGGAAUUUAACUUUUAAACCACCGCACUCCUAUUCUCAUUCUCCCAAAUAAUUAUGUUAAAUCAGUAAUCUAGUGUUUAUUAUAACUAUAAAGAUUGUCCAUAGAUGAACCAAGUUCUGUAUGGUGAUUAUAUUUCCUUUUUAAUACCUUUUCCUCCCUUAGGGCCACUAAAUACCUCUUUGUUUUGUUUUGCUUAGUUUUCUGCAUACCUAUUAUUUAUCCCCAAAAGCUCCAGAAGGACUCUGAAACAACUCUAUGUAAGCAGAUUCCACCGCUGUUAAAAAUAACAUGUCGGCCGGGUGCGUUGGCUCACGCCUGUAAUCCCAGCACUUUGGGAGGCCGAGGCGGGCGGAUCACCUGAGGUCGGGAGUUCAAGACCAGCCUGACCAAUAUGGAGAAACCCCGUCUCUACUAAAAAUACAAAAUUAGCUGGACAUAGUGGCGCAUGCCUGUAACCCAGCUACUCGGGAGGCUGAGGCAAUAGAAUCGCUUGAACCUGGGAGGCAGAGGUUGCAGUGAGCCAAGAUCGUGCCACUGGACUCCAGCCUAGGCAACAGAGUGAGACUCCGUCUCAAAAAAUAAAUAAAUAAAUAAAUAAAUAACAUGUCAUGUAUUCCUCUGGGGCUAUAUGACUUCUUUGAGACUAUGAGCUGUAUAGUUGACCCUUGAGCAACGCAGGGGCUAGGGAGCACAAGCCUACAUUUCCAACCCAUGUACUCGAAAAUCCACAUAACACUUUUGACUCCCCCAGAACUUAAAUACUAAUAGUCUACUGUGGACCAGAAGCCUUAUUGAUAACAUAGACAGUCUAUUUUGCAAAAAAUACAAGGUUUUUGUGCCUGCCGUCUUAGCUGCAGCAGCAGCUUCAGAAAUUUCCUUUUCUUCUUUUACAGUGGUUCUUAUUCUGGAUUCAUUUAUAUUGAAAUGGCAGAAGCUACAACUGCAAACCUCAAUAUAUAGGAUACAUAUCAAGCAGUUCAACUUGUUCUUGUAAUGUCAUGAUUUUUCUCCCCUUCUUGGGAGCGCUUCCAGCAUCACUAGUGGUACUUUGUAAGGGUUCCAUAAUAUUAUUCAAGGUUUAUGGUAUUGCAUUAAAUACCAUGAAAAAUAUGCAAGAACUGAGGCAGAUCACUUUUACUGCCAUAUGCAAUUUACUAGAGAGAUGAACUGCUCAGGCAGAAAUAAUUAGAUUUACAUAGUGUUUUAAAUGGAUACUGUUGACACUUGAGCUCACCAUAAGAGCAUUAGGAGGUGGCUACAAAAUUAUAGUAGUACAGUACUACAGUUAAUUUUAUGCAGUUAUGAUUUAAUAUUGCAUCUUGAUGUUUGUUUAUAUUUCUCUUGACUAUAAAUGGUGCCAUGUAUGGUCUGUAAGUGUUUGUGUGUAAGUUUGAUAAAUUCUAACCUUUUCUAAUAGAUUUGUGUAUUUUAUGGUAGUGAAUGAUAAAAUAGACUAGUAUCUACAUAUAUGCAUUCAUGACAUAUCUUUGUUGUAAUGUUUUUGAUAUUUCUAUGCUAUGUGAUUCAUCUGCAGAUUUUUCAAACUGUUGCACAUUUCCAAAAAAGAUUCCAGUAUAUUUAUUGAAAAAAAAUCCACGUAUAAGUCGACCUGUACAUUUCAAACUUGUAUUGUUCAUAGGUCAGCAGUAUAGAAUUGCCUACUUUUUUUUCUUUUUUGUUUCUGUUAUUUCUUGAACAUCAGGUACUCUCUGAUAUUCAUUAAGGAUGACUUUUAUUCUUCCUUCCAACAUUUGCCAUCAUUAUGAGGGAUUUAAAAUAUCUGCAUACAGUUGUCCCUUGGUAUCCAUGGGGAACGAUUUCAGGACUCCCUCUCCCUGUACCAAAAUCCAUGGAUGCUCAAGUCCUUUAUAUAAAAUGGUGUAUUUGCAUAUAACCCACACACAUCCUCCUGUAUACUUUAAAUCAUCUCUACAGUAAUUAUAAUACCCAGUGCAAUGUAAAUGCUAUAUAAAUUAUUAUACUGUAUUGUUUAGGGAAUAUUGACAAGAAAAAAAAGUCUACAUAUUCAGUACAAAUACAACUAUCCUUUUAUUCCCCAAAUAUUUUCAGUCGUGGUUGGUUUAAUCCACAGAUAAGGAACCCACAGAUACAGAGGGUGGACUGUAUAUGUAAACAACCCAUAUAAUAUACCACUAUUUAAACUUCUUUGAACUCCUGAACUCUGGUAUACCUUUACUCCUUUGUCAUUUUAAAUGAACUGUGCUACACAAAUUGAAAUCUUAAAUUCGAUAUACCUGUUGGGCACGGUGGCUCACGCCUGUAAUCCCAGCACUUUGGGAGGCUGAGGCAGGCAGAUCACCUGAGGUUGGGAGUUCAAGACCAGCCUGACGAACAUGGAGAAACCCCAUGUCUACUAAAAAUACAGAAUUAGCCAGGCAUGGUGGCACAUGCCUGUAGUCCCAGCUACUUGGGAGGCUUAGGCAGGAGAAUCACUUGAACCCGAGAGGCGGAGGUUGCGGUGAGCCGAGAUCAUGCCAUUGCACUCCAGCCUGGGCAACAAGAGCGAAAUUCUGUCUCAAAAAAAAAAAAAAAAAAUCAAUAUGCCAGCCUUUCACCAGUUCUCUUGUUGUCCUGAAUGAUAAACUACAGAAAGCACCUAGAAUAAUUAGCCAAGUUUGGGGCACAAGCCUGUAGUCCUAGCUACUGGGGAGACUGAGGCAAGAUUACUUGAGCCCAGGAGUUGAAUACAGCAGUGAGCUGAGACCAUGCCACUGCAUUCCAGGCUGGGCAACAGAGUGAAACCCUUUCAUUAAUUAGCUAACUAAUUAAUGCACCUAGGAUAAUACCUUGUACAUAAUGGUAUUCAGUAAACGAUAGCUCUUGUUAUUGUUUUUCUUCUAGCUGUUUUUUUUAUUAUCACAAAGCUAGAUAUUUGAUCAAAUAUUUCCAUUUCCUUGAUUCUUCAGGAUAUUUUCAUGCUAUCAGCCCCUUCCAAACUUAAUUUUCUUCUCUAUUUACCCUAAAACCAAUGUUACUCUGAAGCAUUUCUUUACUGAUACUGCCACAGCAUCCUUUGACCUUAUCUUUAUACCUACCUGCUGUGGAAACUCCCAAUAGCAAAUAAUUUCUAUUCUGCUUCUCUACUCUAUAUCCUGAAUGUUGCUUCUCUGCUCUAUAUCCUGAAUGAUCACAUUUACUACUGCAAAUUUUAGUUUUCAAUCUUAGCUAGGCUUGUAAAAGUUAUCCCACAUUUUACAUUUUUAUUUCAUUACCAGCAACUUUUCUUUUGCCUGUCUCUUCAAGUUUUCUACCCCACGUCAGACUCCUUUGCUUUUGUUUUAUAGAUUAGAUUUAAGACCAUCAGACCUCAGCUUUCUCCUAUCACCUGCUAAUUUUUUUGUAUCUUCCUCCUUGGUUUCAGAGAACGAAGUCUCUCUCUUUCCUGUUUACAGUCUAUGAUCAUUCAAGUUGCCCUCUAGUUUCCAUUCUUUCUAGUCUCCUAUAGCCUUGUUUCAUAAGUUAGCCCUAUUAGCACCUAUAUUUUUAACCACUUCUUUCUUCUGAUAUCUUAUUCUUGUUGGAUAUACUCACAUUCCUCCCAUUAAAAAUUUUUAUUUUGCUUCGUCCUAGCUCUAUUGAUAGGUCUUUCUUUCACAGACAAGAUUCUUGAAAAAUAAGUUGUGUUCAGAAUCUGUUCUUCCUCACCCUCCCAUAUGUUAAACUGAAGUUUCUACUGCCAUUAUAGGUUCUGAACAAAAAACCUUAUGUAUAGUGUCUAAUUUAAUCCUCACAAUAAUCUUAUGAUAUACAUACAAUUAUUUCUAUUUUAGAGAGUACUGAGGUUCCAGGAGUUUCAGUUAGUUUUCUCAGGCCACACAGCUAGAAAGUGGUGGAGCCAGUAAUCAACACAAGCAUCUCUCACCAAAGUCAAGUCUGUCUGAAGCCACGGCUUUUGUUCUUCAUUAGAGUUAGCAAACUUGUCUCUAUUUCUAGUCUAUCCUUUUGGCAGUGUAGAUUUUCUUCAUUGCAUAUCACAAUAAUAAUAAAAGGCGACAUAUUGAGAUUGACUUAUGUACUGGAGUUGUAUUAACUCCUUUAAUUCUCACACAGCGCUGCAAGGUUGAUACCAUUAACACAUAUUUUACAGGUGAGCAAUCUGAGACCCAGCAAAGUUAAAUAACUUGCUCACGGUCACAGAACUACUAAGUGGUGUGGGAUUAAGAUUUAACCUAUUUGUUCUACAAACAUUUAUUGAGUGUGCAUGCAUACGCAAGGCAGUUUGAUCCCAGUGCUUUUCUUUUUAGCAACUAUACAGGUUGAAUAUCCUUUAUCUGAAAUACUUGGGACCAGAAGUAUUUUAGAUUCCAAAUUUUUUUUCAGAUCUUAGAAUCUUUGCAUUUAAAAAUGCAAACUGAUUGAGCAUCUGAAAAAUUUGAAAUCCCAAAUCCUCCAAUGAGCAUUGCCUUUCAUUGUCAUAUUUGUGCUCAGAAAGUUUCAGAUUUUGUAGCUUUUCAGGUUAGGGAUACUCAGCCUGUACUGCCUGAUGUGAUCCAAUCCCUACCCCUCCUUACACCGAAACCCUUUAGUACCAGCCUGUAACUUCAAGUUAAAGACCAAAUUCUACUCCAAGUCAUGCUAAGCUCCUCAUGACUUAUCUCUGCCCAUGUUUUCAUUCUUAUUUCUCACAGCAUUUCUACUUAUAUUCUAGGCUUUAACUAUAUGAAACUGUUUCCUAUCCCUAUGAUGUACUAUAUACUUCCUUACCUUUGUAUGUUUUUUCCCCUCUGAUGACUUUGUCCUCUCCUUUAAUCUUUAGAUAUAGCUCUCAAAACCCAAUUUGAGCAAUUAUGAUAUUUUUUGAUCUUCCUACUACCUUUCCCUUACAAAAAAAUUGGUCAGCUCUCUGUUUUGUGUCAUUGUGCAUAUUGUAUAUGCCACUGUAUUGCCAGUAUUGAUUUACAUUUCUGUCUCCCAGAAUUUCCGUCUUCCAAAGCAAAACUGUGAACUAUUUGAGAGCAGGACCAUAUGUUACUUAUCUUUGUAUCUCUAUCACAGAAGACACUUAGUAUACAUAUUCACUAAGUAUUAAUGGGAUGAAUGAAAAUAAUUAAAACUGAAAAGGAGGUUUGCUCAACCUUUUUUUUUUUUUUUGCUGCAGCAUACCCAAAGAAUACAACACACUCUAGUCAAUACAGUGAUUCCCAAAUAGAUACAGGUCAGAAUCUGAGAAGGGAGGGCAGGUAUAAAUUUGAAAAUGUCAGGGCCAGGCACAGUGGCUCACGCCUGUAAUCCCAGCACUUUGAGAGGCUGAGGCGGGCGGAUCACCUGAGGUCAGGAGUUCAAGACCAGCCUGGCCAACAUGGUGAAACCCCAUCUCUACUAAAAAUCCAAAAAUCAGCCAUGUGUGGUGGCAAGCGCCUGUAAUCCUAGCUACUCAGGAGGCUGAGGCAGGAGAAUCACUUGAACCUGGGAGGCGGAGGUUGCGGUGAGCUGAGGUUGCACCAUUGCACUCCAGCCUGGGCAACAAGAGCAAAACUCUAUCUUAAAAAAAAAAAAAAGAAAGAAAAUGUCUUCCAGGUGCAGUGGCUCAUGCCUAUAAUCCCAGCACUUUGGGAGGCUCAGGUGGGCGGAUCACGAGGUCAAGAGAUCAAGACCAUCCUUGCCAACAUGGUGAAACCCUGUCUCUACUAAAUAUACAAAAAUUAGCUGGAUGUGGUGGUGCACACCUGUAGUCCCAGCUACUCAGGAGGCUGAGGCAGGAGAAUCUCUUGAAUCUGGGAGGCAGAAGUUGCAGUGAGCGGAGAUUGCGCCACUGCGCUCCAGCCUGGCGACAGAGACUCCGUCUCAAAAAAAAAAAAAAAAGAGAGAGAAUGUCUUCCUUACCUACUCUCAUCUCGCUCCACACAACUGAAUCUGAUUUAAUUAUCUGUGCCUCACUUGUUAUUAGGAAAUCACUGCUCUACAACAUAGUGUAGACAUUUUAGCUUUUUCUUACCUCUCUGAUCUGUAAAUUAAUACUCAAGGCCUCCAUUUAGCACUGUGAGAAAUGUAAUAGAGACCAGGCACAGUGGUUCAUGCCUGUAAUCCCAGCACUUUGGGAGGCUGACAUGGGAGAAUGGUUUGAGACUAGCCUGGGCAACACAGCAAGACUUCAUCUCUAUUCUAUAAAUAAAUGCACACAAAAAAGAAAACAAUUUUUAAAAUUAGUGAAAUUUUAAGAAGAAUUUUUAAAAAGAAAUGCCAAAGAAUGCAAAAGCACCAGAGGUAUUCCUUCCAUAAAGGACCCUAAGGCCUGGUAGGUUAAAAAUAAAUUGUUUGAGACAAAAUAAAAAACUAUUAAAUUGUAUUUCAGAAGCUUAGGGGAAUAAUAAUUCUACCAACAUGAGCUUGCAUACAAAAUUUUAAAAUACAUGAGGAUAUAGCCACCAUGACCAAGCAGAAGCAGAUAAUGGGAUUAUUAAAUAUAUAAUAUAAAAUAUUUUAAAGUUUGUGUUUAAAUAUUUAAAUGAUUAUAGUAUUUAAAGAAUAGAAGAGUUUGAAAACAUGAGCAAAGGAUAGGUGAUGAGCCAAAAAGACUAAGCAGAGUUUUAAAAUAAAUAAAUAAAAUGAAAUUUUAGAUGUCUGAAAUUUGCUUCAAAUAAUUAUGGGGGAAACGUGGAGAUGAAACAUUAUUGACCAUUAUUGAUAAAUUGUUGGUGCUGAUGACAAAGAGAACCAAGUAGAACUAAAAAAUAGGAAAUAUAACUUCUGAAAUGGAAAACUAAGAGGAUAUGUUAAAGAAAAGAAGAGAGAGUUAGUGGCCUGAAAGUGCUAAAGAAGUUGCCCAGAAUACAACACAAAAAGAUUAAGAGAUGAAAAAUAUGAAAGAAAGAUUAAGAGACAUGAAGGAUAAACUAAGAAUGACUAACACACGGAGUGGAGUUCCAGAAGGAAGGAUUAGAAGGAAUGGGGCAGAGGCCACAUCUGAAGGAAUAAUAGCCAGUAACUUCCAGAAUGAUGACAACCAUGAGUCCUCAGAUUUGAGAACAUAAGUUCCUACAAGGAUACAUAAAAAGAUAGCUGCGUUCAAAAAACCUUGGGGAAAAAAUGUGGGCUGGAUUUAAAGGAUGCCUUUGUAGAAGAGAUGGAUGUUUAACUUGCCCUUGAUGAGGAGAAUUUGGACUGGUAUGGGGGAAAGAAUAGUAGGAAAAUCUUAUGUAACAAUAUAGGUUUGAGUUGGAGAAUAAGAUAUAAGAUUAGAAAUAGAAGCUAUAUAUGUAAAGACAUGGAGGCAGAAAAGUAUACAAUAGGUUUGGAAUAAUUAGGAGUCUUUGGAACUUUUUAUAUGAUGUGGAUUGACAUAGGAAGCAGUUGUGCAUAGUUGAUAGAGCAUAGCAGUUUCUAUCAUAGUUGUUUUUGUCUUUCCUAUAAAGGGAGCAGAGGCAGUAACCCACAUCUAUAGCAGGCCGACUUUUCCUGCCAAGAUCAUGGCCUUAAUAGUCUCCAUUAUCUCUGUCUCCUACUGUUGUCUCUGUAUUUCUCAUCCUCCCAUAUGAUCCCAAAGUUUCCCUCUUUUUGUCACAUUUGUUCCAGCUGGAGAAUCACUCUCAUUGGACUGCUGAACUGAAAACAUAUAUUAUUGUUUCUUGAGGUGGUGGUUUUCUGUUUUUCCCCAGUGGAUUCCAUUGUCCUUCCUUCCCUGUCCUACCCUGUUUUUGGGCUGAUGACUACAAAGUUCACUUGAAUUACUUGGCUCUGACUUACAAUGAGAGACACUGUUAAGAGAUCCAAGAGCUAGGAGGAAAGGAAAGUCGCAGUGUGUAUUUCCCUUUCUCCUUCCUUGCCUUGCCUUGCUUUUCACAACAGCAUUCAUCUAUGGCCACCAACUCCUGUCGGGUAGUUCCUUUUUUAAGAUUUAGUCUAAAUCAGAUUCUGGCAAUGAUUUAAGUUCCUCUUGCCCCUUCAGGCUAAGAGUGAUAAUGGAUUUCUACUGUUGCUUGUCCUCAGAUUCUUUUCAUUCCUUGUUGGUUUAACUUUAAUCACAUCUCCAUAAGUAGCCAAUUUAAAAAACUCUCUUUAGUUAAACUCUUUCAGUGUACUAUCUGCAUGCUGCUAGGACCCUCACUGAUAAAUUUCCAAAGCCUAUGUUGUCCUCAGAGGCACAUUGAAGACCAAUAUCAUCGCUCGUGUACACGUUUGCAGAAAUCUCAUCUUUCCUCAGCUCUUGAAUUUUCCAGGUAUUGAGUUUAUUCUGUUUUUUAGUGGCAACAGAAAGCUUUUUUGACCUUUCUUUUCUUUUUGGCGGUGGAGCCUGGUUCUCAUUUUCUUCUUUUGCCCUUUUCAUUUCAGCAGUGGAGCCCAGCUCUCCACUUCUAUCAAAGUUUCCAGACUUUCUCAAUUCAGUGUCCUCAGUGUCCUUGUAAUGUUUCUGCAGUGUGUCCCUAGACCUAAAGAAAUACCCAACAGUUCCAUUUAUUAAGAAGUGCUUACUAGUUAGUAUUUUAAGUCUUAAAACAGGAGUUUUUGAAAAAUACAAAUACUGAGAGAAAACGUAAUAUUUUUAUUCCAUUAGUACAUGAUUACAAUUAACUAAUGGGACAUGUCUGCCUGUUGUACACUAUAUAACUUCCCACAUCUUGGGAUCAUAAGGAUAACUGCACUCUCAUGUCUUCUUCCACAGUGAUUCUUCAUAGGAAGUUGCUUUUUAUUGUUGAAAACCCACCUUAGCAAAGAUGGGUUUAUGACAUCACCAGAAGGAAUAUGGAAUAUUCUAAUGUUGAAACUAUGAACUACCUUUCGCUAGUAGUUCUCACAGUGUCCCAUAGAUGUCGCUGUGUUCCCUAUGAAAAGUGAAAAUACUCUCUGGCACCCCAGGGCUCCUCAGUGAACACUUCGAGAACCUCAGCAUUCUUUGUGCUAAUUCUUUUAUGAUAGAUGUGUACUGUUCUUUUUUCAAUUGCAAUACAUGUUUUAAUUUGUUGCUUUCUACCACACAUAAGGCUGAUGCAGUGUCUCUUACCUUUUUUGUUUACUUUCAGAUCUUAGACUUCAGAUAAGACAUGCAGAUUCUUUAAGUCUACCAAGCAGUUUUCUCUUUGAUUCUAGAUUCAAUUCAUAAUAAGACAAACUGAAACACAAGUUGGGACAGUACCUAUCUCAACUUGUACUGCUCAGCUUUUUUUGGUGGUAGUUUUACUCCGUCUAGAAUAUCGUUGCUCCUAGAGUUUGAAAUUAUCUAACAGCAUGCCCUUGCCUUGUGUAACUGACCUGCUUCAUCUAGAAAAUUGCCGGCGUACCAGCAAUCACACUUGCAUUUUAAAUUCUAAACAUUGGGCCAGGCACAGUGGCUCACGACUGUAAUCUCAGCACUUUGGGGGAGCCAAGACGGGUGGAUCACCUGAGGUCAGGAGUUCGAGACCAGCCUAGCCAACAUGGCAAAACCCCAUCUCUAUUAAAAAUACAAAAAUUAGCCAUGUGUGGUGGUGGGUGCCUGUAAUCUCAGCUACUCAGGAGGCUGAGGCAGGAGAAUCACUUGAACCUGGGAGGCAGAGGUUGCAGUGAGCUGAGAUUGCACCAUUGCACUCCAGCCUGGGCAAUAAGAGUGAAACCCCAUCUCAAAAAACAAAAAAUAAUAAAAAAUAAAUGGUAAACAUUAGUGACAUCUUCUUAUGCAGAAGCUUCAGUCUAUCUGUAUGGUACCUUGUUUUUCAGAUACCAUGUGACUGUUUUACUUAUUCAAACCAUGCUGGAUGUUAGGAUUUAAAGUGGGAUUGAACACAAGUGGUGGAGUACUAACAUAAAAUAUCUCUAGAUCACAGCCCCACCCUCCCACUUAUGUUGUGAAGAAAGUAACGCUCACUGGGAACAGUGCAAAGUAACAAAAAAUGAAGAGCUUUAUAUGUAAAAUGUUAGAAACAGAUAAUCGGUGCCGUGAAGAAAAGUCAGCACGGAGACAAAGGAUCUCUCAGCAAGGCAAUCUUUACUUUCUGCAGAAAGCGUGCCCCUCGCAAAUGGAACAAUCGCGAGAGCACACCUGAACAAAGGAAAAGCAGACAUAUAUAUCCCUUAUGCAUUUGGGUUGUCCUUACUGCUGUGUCCUGCAUCCAUUGGCUGGAGCUGGACCUCACAGUCUUAAACUGAUUACUGAUUUGCUAAUAACCUAAAACUUUCCUAAAUAGGUAAAUGCAAAGGAGAACAAAGAGGAAGAGGAAGUUGCUUAUGAAAGGUUUAAGGAAGCAACAACAUUUCCAAAUAAGGAAGGGGCAUAAGCUGUGAGCUAAGACUUGCCUGGGCCUGUCCAGACAUGCUUGAGUAAGCCAAAGCAACUAACUGGGCUAAAGCGUAAGAACUGAUAGUUGAUAGGAGGCUUUAGAGUAAGGAGCUAUUAUUCCUAGUGUCUUUUAUUUUAUUUUUAAAUCAAGAUGAGCUUUGAAGAGGAACUUUUCUACUUUCUACAUAAAACUUUAAUGUAGAGUAUAGAAUUCUAGGAAAGCUAGCUUAAGGUCUGUGAGGUGACUUAUCCCAAAUCUCAGAUCUGUAACAUACUUUAUAAAUUUUAAUUUUUUUUUUUUUUUGAGACAGGGUCUCGCUCUGUUGCCCAGGCUGGAGUGUAGUGGCAUGAUCUUGGCUCACUGCAACCUCCACCUCCUGGGUUUAAGUGAUUCUCAUGCCUUAGCCUCCCAAGUAGCUGGGACCACAGGUGCGUGCACCACGCCCGGCUAACUUUUGUAUUUUUAGUAGAAAUGGGGUUUCACCAUGUUGGCCGUUGCUAGUCUCGAACUCCUGACCUCAAGUGAUUCACCCACGUCAACGUCCCAAAGUGCUGGGAUUACAGGCAUGAGCCACCUUGCCCAGCCUAUAAUGUACUUUAGUUUGAAGCAUGGAAUGAAGAGACAGAGGAAAGAGAAAUUAGUCAAUAUGUUAGUUUUACCAGACUGGCUGGAAUAAAUAGCAAAUGAGGUGAUUGGACCUUCUCUUAUUCACAAUAAGACAAAAUCUUACCAUUUUAGCCAGUGUAAAAGUGUAAUAAGAACUUUUAACAAGUAUUAAUUCUGUCUCUAGCGUAUGUGCAUCUUGCAUCUUCCUGAUGCAUAACAAGUCUUCCUUGUAACAGUGGAAGAAAGCAGGAGAAAGUAGACCUCUCUUCCUCCAAUCUAAAAAAAUGGAGUCUAAAUUACCAAUCCUGACAUGAUUCUUCCUCCAGUUUAUUUCACAAAAUAACUGCUUCCAAAAUACUUAACACUUUUAACUUCAAUAGAAUAUUAUAGCCUUAGUACCCCAUCCCUUCUAUAUGCCAUUUGCUAGUCUUAAUUAUAUUCUCCUCAUACUUCUUUCAUGACAGUUCUCUCCCAUAUUAAUUAUGAGUCAGAGAGAAGAAAUGAGGUGGAAGGCCCUGAGAUCACAUUCUCACUGCCAUAGACGUAUUUUUCUAAUUCUUUUCCUGUUUGACUGUGAAACCCUCUGGCACAUUGUAUUUUGAUUCUUUUCAUGUUGCAUUUUUUAUAAGUGUUUUUCGUGUUCAUUAACAUCAACUAGAUAUAUAAUUUAAGGUCAAUAGAUUUUUUUUUACUGUUUAUACCAAAACGUUACAUAAUGAAAUGCAUAAGUUUAUAAAUUGAAAUUUGUUAUAUAAAAUAAGUAAUUUAUUGCUUUGUAGAGCCUUAAAAGGAGAAACAUUUAUCUCUUUUUGUGGAUGGUGUACAGAAGCCUGAAAAACAAAAUAAUAGAAAAGUCCAGUACUUUAUGAUUAAAAUGUAUAUACGUUAAAACAUAUAGGUAGAGGUCAGUAUAUGGUUUGGCCACAGCUUAGGAACUAUGUUCUACAGGUGCAUUUAAACACUGGUUAUUAAAACCUUAAAUAUAUUUCGCCACAUAAGCAUUAUUUUCAGUGUCUACUGUGUAUUCUCUCAUACGGCUUUGGUAUAAUUAACUUGUCCCUGGUUUUUGAACAUUCAAAUUCUUGCUAAUUUGCUUUUUAAAUUAUGUUUUAUUGUUAUAAUAAAUGAAUAUCUUUCUGUAUAAA